GGUAGGUUGACCUGCGGAAGGAUCAUUA
rnacentral:rRNA from 1 species